rnacentral:rRNA from 1 species
CGUAGGUGGCAAGCGUUGUCCGGAAUUAAUGGGCGUAAAGCGCGCGCAGGCGGUCCUUUAAGUCUGAUGUGAUAGCCCACGGCUCAACCGUGGAGGGUCAUUGGAAACUGGGGGACUUGAGUGCAGGAGAGAAGAGUGGAAUUCCACGUGUAGCGGUGAAAUGCGUAGAGAUGUGGAGGAACGCCAGUGGCGAAGGCGACUCUUUGGCCUGUAACUGACGCUGAGGCACGAAAGCGUGGGGAGCAAACAGGAUUAGAUACCCUGGUAGUCCACGCCGUAAACGAUGAGUGCUAAGUGUUAGAGGGUUUCCGCCCUUUAGUGCUGCAGUAAACGCAUUAAGCACUCCGCCUGGGGAGUACGGCCGCAAGGCUG